rnacentral:rRNA from 1 species
UUACUACUUGGUAGUUUAAAUUUCUAGGUAGAAUUAUGAUAAUGACGUUAUCUAUCUAUUAGUCUUGACCAAAUUACGUGCCAGCAGUCGCGGUAAUACGUAGAAGACAAGUGUUAUUCAUCUUUAUUAGGUUUAAAGAGUACCAAGACGGUUAAUAAAGCCCAAAAUAAAUGAAUACAGGGGACACAUUAACUAGAGUUAUAUGAAAAGAAGCUCUAAGGUACUGUUGAGUGAAGAGAUGAAAUUUUAUGAUACCAGAUGAUUGGCACAGAUUUAUGCGAAGGCAUCUUCUUAUGUAAUAACUGACGUUGUAGGACGAAGGCUUAGGGUGUGAACAGGAUUAGGUACCCUAGUAAUCUAGGCAGAAAAUGAUGAAUGUCAUAGGUAUAAUACACAGAGUGGUUAAGUUUUUACUAAAUAGGUAGCAUACCUAUUUAGUAAAAGUAUAUUUGAUUAUAUAAUAUAUUAUUACACAAUCAAAUAUACUAUUUAGUAAUAGUAUAUUUGAUUAUAUAAUAUAUUAUUACACUAUCUAAUGUAAAUAGGUAGGUAGCUUGAUAAAUCUGUUGUGUGUCUAUAAAUGAAAGUGUAAGCAUUCCACCUCAAGAGUAAUUUGGCAACAUUGGAACUGAAAUCAUUAGACCGUUUCUGAAACCAGUAGUGAAGUAUGUUGUUUAAUUAGAUGAUACACAAGAACCUUACCACAAUUUGAAUAUAUAUAUAGAUAGAAAUAUAAUGUAUUUACANGCGCUGCACGGCUGUCUACAGUUAAUGUCGUGAGAUUUUGGUUAGCUCCAUAAAAUUGACGUAA